GAGGUAAAUGCCGCUGCCGCCUAAGGCACUUUAUUUGUUAUGAACAAAUACUUCGACACAUUUAACAGUUAUACCUAGCGUAUAUUGUUCACAUUUCGCCUCCAGUGAGGUUGUCUUCAGCAUUUCACUUUAAAUUAGCUGAAUCCGUGAGCUCAGUUUGACACGUAAUGAGAACGAACGCUCGUUGAAUUCCCGCGCAUUUUGUGGAGCCAAAUAUGUCGUCACUUCAAUUAAUGGAGCCAAGACGUGUAACAGUCAAGCAACGUGACUUGGUGGAUAAACACUCAACGGGGAGCCAUGAGGAGUGACGUCAAAUGAGCAUCUAGGGAAUGCUGGACAGGGCCAGGAGGAUCAGGCCCCCGGGUGAAACCCCAGGACAGAGCUAAAGCGCCUGACAGAGCCUGACCACCCUCACCAACUCCCUCCCGAAUGCACACGUCCAAAGACCCAACACCCCAGCACCCCCCGCACUUCCCACUGGCCUCCAACAAGGAGCCUAAAGGCAAAACCCACAAGUGUGUGAGCCAUGAGCAAACCAACUAAUCUGAUGGUUCAAUUACAACUGGCAUUCAAACAGUCCUUGUCGUCAUGCCAACCACAUCUCAACACCACGAGAGCAAAAUGACUCCCAACCAUUUACUAUCAGGACCUCACCAUUGCGAGGCUCCAAACAGGAUGCUUCCAAAGGGAAGUGGCCACAGCGUGCUACUAGCACACUGUUGGGGUCCCCACCGCCCAGAAACCCCCGACAGAGAAUAGCAAGCCGCACAAAAAGCAUUUAGACACCGAACAGCUGGACACGGACAUCCAGAAGGCCAAGCCAAGCCCACAGGGGCCACAGCGCAUACACCCUCCAUCCUGAAGUUUCACCCAAAAGCCCAACAUCCCCAACUCUCCUGUGAUGAGUGGCACUUAUGUGAGCAUAAUUAUUAAAUAAAAAUGUCGAAUAGCAAAGCUGCCUAGUUGGUUGGUUGGUACUACUAUGCUGCUAUUGUGAAUACAAUUUUAACACUUCUGCUCCAGGAUACUGCAAUUUACAAAUAAAACCAGCAACUGCUAUCAUCACAACUUCUAUUUAAGGUUGUUUAUUAAAUGUG